rnacentral:lncRNA from 1 species
GUAGACACGGAUGCCAUAUGGGGGUCUAAUGGACACAGAUGCCAUAUGGGUGUCUGGUAGACACGGAUGCCACAUGGGCGUCUGGUAGACACGGAUGCCAUAUGGGCGUCUGGUAGACACGGAUGCCACAUACGGCGUCUGUAGGACAGCGGGACCCGCAGGGAGCGUGGUGACAGAGACCGUGGUGACCGGGACCGUGUGCAGGGACCUGCCCUCCUGCUGCUGCAUAAACGUUCGGGGGUUGGGGGGCUCCAGAACGGGGGCACCAGGUGCUCAGGAAGACCCGGCGGAGCCUUCGCCUCCCAGGCCCAGGGGCUGUCCUCUUUGUCAGCCGGGGGUCAUCACAGCCAGGGGGCUCUCCCCCGCCAGAGCCAGAGUCCAGAACGUGCUCCAGAAGCCGCGACAUGUCUGGUGCCCCGGGACUGUCUCUGGUGUCCGCAGCUCUCGUUUGGGGAGAAAAGGAUUUCUCUGCUGAAUGCUCUUCCCCCACAUUAAAAUCCAGGCUGUUGAUCUGAUUCUUAGCACCAUGAUUUUAUACACUGUGUUUUCUUAAAAGAGAAAAAAGGGAUUUUUGUAUCCUGAAAAAAAGCAUCAUCUUGCUUUUGUAAAAUCUAUAAAAGAGCCUGUGAUUUCUUUUUUGUUCCGCAUGGUUUAUUGAGCUAUGAGGCUGGAGUUUCUUUCUGACAGUUUAAUAUCGAGUGACAGCCGAGGCUGCCUCUGAGAGAUGCUCUUUCUGAACAAAUGAAAAAAUACACUUUUCCAGAUUUAGAUAAAGGUGAAGGUUGUUUGGGGUUUGAAAUGUUUUCCUUUUCAUGCAGCAUAAACAUGCAUCAGGCACACAUCCCUGAGACUCUUUCCGGCACCUUCCGC